ensembl:lncRNA
AAAGUUGCAAAUAUUCUAAAAACUUUGCCGAACUAUAAGAACUUUGGAAAAAUGUAAUUACUUAGCAGAACUGCAAUAACUUAGAGGAAACAUAAUACUUAGCAGAAAAAUACAAUAACAUAGAAGAACUCAGCAGAAACAUAACUUCUCAGAAAUACAACAAUUUAGGAGAGAUACUAUAAGAAAACAGAAAUGCUAUAUUUAGCCAAAAACACUUAAACAUUACAGAAAUACUGUGAUUUAUGAAAAAUACUACAACAUAGCAGAAAUACUGUGAUUUAGCAGAGAUACUGUGAUGUACCACAAAUACUGUGAUGUACCACAAAUACUGUAAUUUAGCAGAAAAACUAUGAUUUGGCACAAAUGCUGUGAUUCAGCAUAUUAUAUAUUAAUAUUAUAACAUAGCAGAGAUACCAUAAUUUAGUAGAAAUACUAUGAUAUAGCUGAAAUAAUAUGAUUCUGUGAUUUAGCAGAAUAGUAAUAACUUAAAUAGAAAUAUUGGAAAAGCAAAAUGACCAGCUGAAAAAAGCUGAACAUGGUAAGGUUCCCUCAAAACUACUUGUUCACCUGUGAAUAAUUGGCAGAAAUACAAAAAAAAAAAAAACAGGAAAUAACAGCCAGCGGAUACACACAAUUACAAACAUGGACACACAUGGAAACACAAAGCCACAGAGAGACACACACAGGAUCUAUGCCAGUCAACCAGUCUGAACGUAUUCAAUUUUUAUGCUAGAAUGAGAUGCUGCCAAAAAAGGGUCUCUCCCUCUCUCUCUCUCUCUCUCUCUCUCUCUCUCUCUUUCUCACACACACACAGACACAACAAUGAUGGUGACAUUUUCUGAAAGCCAGCAAAAAUACCUGUGUUUUGAUGUGGGGCUUGAGUGAAAAUUGAGCGAGUAGCAAGAAGUUGUUUGGACAUGAAGAGAAGAUUCAGAAAGGGCCAGUAUCCACUCUAAGCCAAGAGCAUAGCAACCAUAACAACACAUGUAUUUUCUGAAAAAUCAUAAAGAUGAAACUGAAAACUUAAAGAGGGAUAGGAUUAAAAUGGUAAACGAUAUGAAAAAGCUGAAUCAUACAUGAAUAGCCCAAUAAUUUGAGAACAUUUUAAAGUUUGAAUUGUUGCUCUACGUGACAGUAUGAGGAAGUAGUUAAGUUUCAAAAACAAGCAAGUUUUUGUAGAACUUUGGAAGUUUCCCAUUCAUUUCAAUGGGACAAAAAAUGCAUAAAAAGCUUAAUAUGUUAAAAAGUAUAAUAGUACAAAAUACCAAAAGUCAUAGCCGGCAUUAGCAGAAAUAGCAGAAUAGUUUAAAAUUUGAACGGUAAAAAUCAGACAAAAAUUGUGGAAGUAGUUAAAGGCCAAAGAACAUACGGAAGCGACAAGAAUAAAGAAGAUAAGGAUAAAGAAUAAAGAGAAAC